rnacentral:rRNA from 1 species
GACGAACGCUGGCGGCGUGCUUAACACAUGCAAGUCGAGCGGUAAGGCCCUUUCGGGGGUACGCGAGCGGCGAACGGGUGAGUAACACGUGGGUGACCUGCCCUCAGCUCUGGGAUAAGCCUGGGAAACCGGGUCUAAUACUGGAUAUGACUCCAUGACGCAUGUUGUGGGGUGGAAAGCCUUGUGCGGCUGAGGAUGGGCCCGCGGCCUAUCAGCUUGUUGGUGGGGUGANGGCCUACCAAGGCGACGACGGGUAGCCGGCCUGAGAGGGCGACCGGCCACACUGGGACUGAGACACGGCCCAGACUCCUACGGGAGGCAGCAGUGGGGAAUCUUGCGCAAUGGGCGAAAGCCUGACGCAGCGACGCCGCGUGAGGGAUGACGGCCUGG